GAUGAACGCUGGCGGCGUGCUUAACACAUGCAAGUCGAACGAAGCACUUUAUUUGAUUUCCUUCGGGACUGAUUAUUUUGUGACUGAGUGGCGGACGGGUGAGUAACGCGUGGGUAACCUGCCUUGUACAGGGGGAUAACAGUUGGAAACGGCUGCUAAUACCGCAUAAGCGCCCGGCAUCGCAUGAUGCAGUGUGAAAAACUCCGGUGGUAUAAGAUGGACCCGCGUUGGAUUAGCUAGUUGGUGAGGUAACGGCCCACCAAGGCGACGAUCCAUAGCCGAGCUGAGAGGGUGGCCGGCCACAUUGGGACUGAGACACAGCCCGAACUCCUACGGGAGGCAGCAGUGGGGAAUAUUGCACAAUGGGCGAAAGCCUGAUGCAGCGACGACGCGUGAGCGAAGAAGUAUUUCGGUAUGUAAAGCUCUAUCAGCAGGGGAGAUAAUGACGGUACCUGACUAAGAAGCACCGGCUAACUACGUG
rnacentral:rRNA from 1 species